CCUGGCUCAGGAUGAACGCUAGCGGCAGGCUUAAUACAUGCAAGUCAGGGGCAGCAUGGUGUAGCAAUACACUGAUGGCGACCGGCAAACGGGUGCGGAACACGUACAGAACCUUCCUUCGAGCGGGGAAUAGCCCAGAGAAAUUUGGAUUAAUACCCCAUAGUAUAGCGGAGAGGCAUCUCUCUGUUAUUAAAGAUUUAUCACUUGAAGAUGGCUGUGCGGCUGAUUAGGUAGUUGGCGGGUAACGGCCCACCAAGCCUGCGAUCAGUAACUGGUGUGAGAGCACGACCAGUCACACGGGCACUGAGACACGGGCCCGACUCCUACGGGAGGCAGCAGUAAGGAAUAUUGGUCAAUGGACGAAAGUCUGAACCAGCCAUGCCGCGUGGAGGAUGAAGGUCCUCUGGAUUGUAAACUUCUUUUAUAUGGGACGAAAAAGGUCUUUCUAGAUCGUCUGACGGUACCAUAUGAAUAAGCACCGGCUAACUCCGUG
rnacentral:rRNA from 1 species